CACAGAGAGUCUGGUGAGCAUGCUGCCCCUUGCAUUCCUGAGCAGAAUGGCUCAAGAAAUCUCCACCUGGUUGCUGUCUCAUUUCCUCCCCUACCACACUUGUGGCUUCAUGAAGUCUGUGUGAAAUGAUUCAGGGGAGAGUCAGUCUGGUUCUUAAGGAACAGGAAUCCAGAGAAAAUGAAACCUCACAAUUAACUAGGUCCAAAGAUGGCUGACGAGGCCAAUCCAAGAUUGAGAGACUCUGCUGCAACUUGGGGGUCCCGCGGGCUGGAUAUAUUUUGCCUGCCACUGAACUACACUGAGCAAGAGAGAACAUGGAAGAACAACACUGGUGACCCUGGGAACAACAAAGGACACCAGUUCUUUUUAUUUAUAUGCUUAAGCUUUGAUAAACUGGAGUCAACAUAAAAAGCUCAAUCACAAUUUAAGCUUAUACAAUGACUUGGGGAACUUAUUUUAAAACAUGAAUUUUGGGUUGAUUUUACAAAGUUAUUGUGCAGUUGUUGUGAAAUCAUAAAUGCAUCU